rnacentral:lncRNA from 1 species
AUGCCUUACCCUAUUUCUGUCACUCACAUUUCCUUCCCUCUGUGCUGCUCACCUCCUUGUGAAGCCUUAAAUAUCUCUUUUGCUUCAUCUCACUGUUCAUUAGGAUAUUUAGGCAUCUUCCAGCUACUCCAUCUGGGGUUUUUAAUUGGAACAAGGAUGCCUGAGGGUGAAAAGAGGAAAAGAGAAGACGAGGGAGCAAAAGAUUCCCUUGAGUGGAGUGAGCCUUUCCCCCAGCAGAAGAACACCCUGGUUGACCCCUGUGUGCCUCUUGCCCUGGUGCAGAGAAGAUUGGACCAGAAGCAAAUGCUGAAGAGGGAGCUCAUCAUUAUUCUCUCUUCUAAAAGAAGAGAAAAUUGAGGGACAGCAGCCUUGAUCUUAUUGAGAAGAAGAUUGAAGCGAAAGACAAGGAACGUCGUGUGCAAACAUCGGGCCCUGAGGAUGCUGCUGCAAUUAAUGAGAUUUCAGGGUUGAACCUGAAGGAGAGGUGUGCUCCUGCCCUUCACGGAGGGAUUGAUGCUACCCUCCUGCCAUGGAAUUAAUUCAGGAGGAAAAGAAAAAAUGUAUCAAGAUUAAAAAUAAAAAUAAUUCAAGGAUUCGGGGAUAUGAUUCU